CUGUACGUUCCCAAAUCAGCCACGGCACACAUCAUAGUGGGGAGUUCCAAAUUCCGGAGUAGACGGCGAUUUCCUGUCCUUUCUUACUAUUAUAAAGAUAACCACGCCUCCAUCUGCCGGAGCAGCCAGCCCCUGUCUGGCUUCAGUGCCCGGUGUCUAGAGGAUGAGCAGAUGCUCCAGGCCAUUAGGAAAGCCAAUCCAGGAAGUGACUUCGUUUAUGUCGUUGACACCCGGCCUAAACUUAAUGCAAUGGCAAAUCGUGCUGCAGGGAAAGGCUAUGAGAAUGAAGACAAUUAUUCCAAUAUCAAGUUUCAGUUUAUCGGGAUAGAGAACAUCCAUGUCAUGAGGAACAGUCUGCAGAAAAUGCUGGAAGUGAUCCUUGUUGAGUAGUGAUUCUGAUGUAAGACAAGCUCACAGCUUGUGACCACAAGGAACAUUAUAUGAACCGCAAGGAUCAUUAUAACCACCUCACAUAGUAAUGAAGAUACGUUUAUGGAAUGCUUACUAUGUAUUGGACACGGUUCAGAUUUUUUAAGCUGUAUUUACUCAAGUAAACCUCAUUGAAGUUGU
rnacentral:sRNA from 1 species